rnacentral:rRNA from 1 species
AUUGAACGCUGGCGGCAGGCUUAACACAUGCAAGUCGAGCGAGCGGCGGACGGGUGAGUAAGGUCUGGGAAACUGCCUGAUGGAGGGGGAUAACUACUGGAAACGGUAGCUAAUACCGCAUACCAUCAGAUGUUGCCAGAUGGGAUUAGCUAGUAGGUGGGGUAAUGGCUCACCUAGGCGGCGAUCCCUAGCCGGUCUGAGAGGAUGACCAGCCACACGGGAACUGAGAAACGGUCCAGACUCCUACGGGAGGAAGCAGUGGGGAAUAUUGCACAAUGGGCGCAAGCCUGAUGCAGCACUGCCGCGUGUGUGAAGAAGGCCUUCGGGUUGUAAAGCACUUUCAGCAAGGAGGCGUUACUCGCAGAAGAAGCACCGGCUAACUCCGUGCCAGCAGCCGCGGUAAUUC